GACGGAGGAUGCAAGCGUUAUCCGGAAUGAUUGGGCGUAAAGCGUCCGCAGGUGGCAGUUCAAGUCUGCUGUCAAAGACCGGGGCUUAACUUCGGAAAGGCAGUGGAAACUGAACAGCUAGAGUAUGGUAGGGGCAGAGGGAAUUCCUGGUGUAGCGGUGAAAUGCGUAGAGAUCAGGAAGAACAUCGGUGGCGAAGGCGGCUCUCUGGACCACAACUGACGCUGAGGCGCGAAAGCUAGGGGAGCAAACAGG
rnacentral:rRNA from 1 species